rnacentral:rRNA from 1 species
UACGUAGGGGGCGAGCGUUGUCCGGAAUUAUUGGGCGUAAAGCGCGCGCAGGCGGUUCACUAAGUCUGAUGUGAAAGCCCCCGGCUUAACCGGGGAGGGUCAUUGGAAACUGGUGGACUUGAGUGCAGGAGAGGAGAGUGGAAUUCCACGUGUAGCGGUGAAAUGCGUAGAGAUGUGGAGGAACACCAGUGGCGAAGGCGGCUCUCUGGCCUGUAACUGACGCUGAGGCGCGAAAGCGUGGGGAGCAAACAGGAUUAGAUACCCGCGUAGUCC